AUCGGAACGUGCCCUGUAGUGGGGGAUAACUAGUCGAAAGAUUAGCUAAUACCGCAUACGACCUGAGGGUGAAAGUGGGGGACCGCAAGGCCUCAUGCUAUAGGAGCGGCCGAUGUCUGAUUAGCUAGUUGGUGGGGUAAAGGCCCACCAAGGCGACGAUCAGUAGCUGGUCUGAGAGGACGAUCAGCCACACUGGGACUGAGACACGGCCCAGACUCCUACGGGAGGCAGCAGUGGGGAAUUUUGGACAAUGGGCGAAAGCCUGAUCCAGCAAUGCCGCGUGUGUGAAGAAGGCCUUCGGGUUGUAAAGCACUUUUGUCCGGAAAGAAAUGGCUCUGGUUAAUACCUGGGGUCGAUGACGGUACCGGAAGAAUAAGGACCGGCUAACUACGUGCCAGCAGCCGCGGUAAUACGUAGGGUCCAAGCGUUAAUCGGAAUUACUGGGCGUAAAGCGUGCGCAGGCGGUUGUGCAAGACCGAUGUGAAAUCCCCGAGCUUAACUUGGGAAUUGCAUUGGUGACUGCACGGCUAGAGUGUGUCAGAGGGGGGUAGAAUU
rnacentral:rRNA from 1 species